GAGGUACUAUGAGCCUUGAACUCGUACUACGAGCUAAUCACGUACUGCAGAAUUAAUCCGUUUUGUUGGUUGGGUAAUCGAUUUACUACCGCCUUACUGCUGUACGCUAUUGUGCUUCAUGCAUGCUUGUCGAUGCUACUACUUAGCUAGCUUUAACUAGGACUGAAAGAGACCAUCGAUCGGACAAUGAAAAAAAAAGGAAAUAUGAUCCUCAAAUUAAACCAUGCUCACUCCGUUAAAAAAAACAAAAGCGUAUAACUUAACUUUUGUUGACCAAAUUUACAGAAAAGUUUUAAAUUAAUAAUCUUUUCUUGGUUUUUUUAGGGGGGGAAAUCGGAUUUAAUAAUCUAAGCAAAAAAAAAUUCAGACUUAAUAAGUUGCCUUGAGGGCUUG
rnacentral:lncRNA from 1 species